GCAGAGGAAAACUCUAGACCUCAGGGCAGGGUAGUCAUUUGCUUUCCAAUUAAUAUACCGGCACACAGGCUGUGGGAUCAAACUGUCGUCUUUUUGCCCUGUAUGAAAAUCUUCAACCCGGAUCUCCACGUUCCAGUGUUUACUCUCUGCAAAAUCCCAGCAGAACGAGUUAUCAGAAAAUGGAUGAAAGAAUGCCCUCUAGAGGCAGAAUUCAGCUGAAUAAAAUUCCCAGAUACAGAGAAGAAGAAUUGGAGAACAUAAACAUUACAGCCAUAUGGAGAAGAGUUGGCAUUGCUCAAGCCUCGUGUAAAUACAAACAAGGAAAUGCUGCCUUCUACGAUGCCUGUUAUAGCAAUGAAACUGUAUGAAUUUCAUCCAUGAUUUCUGACAUUUGAUCUUCGUAUAGAAGCUUGCUUUUGAAGAGGAGUCUGCUGACUGUCCACCUUUAGUAUGCUUUGGUGUGCACUGGAGGAUGCAUUCAGAUUCCUCUCCAGUGAAACUGGAUUGAAAAAAUGCUCCAGGAAUGCACCUCUUUUACUCCAAUUGCUAAUGAGCAUUAAAUCCACGGGACCAGAUAAAAAUGAGUCCAAAUUAAAUCUCUGAAGCAUGUAGUGCAACGUUGAGUCCUGGGAACAGCUGUUUCACUUCACAGAAGCACUUCUGCUGUCCCAGGUCAGCAGAACAAUUAAACGUGAGCCCAGUGUUAACAGUUUUACUGUGCAGUACUUUCUGGUAUGGACUCCUGGCAAGAACUGCAGAAAACAGGAGCCAAAGUGAAACAUUUCUGAAUUUCAACAGAGGACGAGGAGUCAAGGCAGACAGUAAUCUGAGGCUGAGCACAAAAUCCAAGAUGGAACAUGGGCAUCGAUCGCUUCCUAUAAAUAACAUGGAUGAGAGGCUUGAAGUACCUUGAAGAUAAUACGUAAAACUUUUAAAUUAUAUCCUUGCUCUUAAAAAAAGAAAGAAAGAAAAGGUCGAUGAAGCUUCUUAAUCCAAAAGGUAACAUGAUCAAAAUGAAUUUCAGGACAGCUAAGUCGAGGCACAACAUUCCAAGCAGCUUGAGUCUGACAGGCUGGGAGGAAAGUAGGUCAAGCAGGAGGCUGUGGUGCAGCGACAGGAGGGCCCUCACUGAGGUUUGGACCCAGAAGUUUGAAUUUCCUGCCCGUAUUUCUUGACUUAAAAAUGCUGUUAGUCAAGGUUUGGUUUGUGGGAUAAGUUACAGCCUUUCAAAUGCCCCUGUAAAAGCACUGUUUGCUUUCUUUGCAGAAGAGUUCUAAGAACACUGUGAAGGUAAGGGGACAAGGCAGGGCAGACUGGCUCUGCACCCUCCUCACAGUGAUGGCAAAAAAGAUAACUUCUCAAAGCCAAGGAAUUGCACCUCUGCCUGUGUAGCCUAUGUGAAAUCAGAAGCAAUUCCAAAGUACCUCACAGUCUUAAGUAUAUGCUGUAGAGAUCGCUUGCCAUUUGAAAACUGCAGUCUCCUUUUGAGUAAGGCCAAAGUCCCUCAAUAAGACAGAGGAAGUUAAUAGCCUGCCUUUCCCCCCACACUGCACGUAAAAAAAACCAACCAUCAGAGCAGAGCCCUUAUAGUAUUUUGAUUUAAAUCAGUGUCUUGCAAUUCAUUUACUCUGGAAUUCCUUUAAAAUUCUGCACAGACUGUACUUGUGGGAGCAUAACUUAAAUCAUGCGCUCCUACCUGCACUCUGUUAUUGUGUCUACAGGCACAGCAAUUAAUGCAAUAGGCUUUCUUAAUGAAGAGAGCAUGAAAUUUGCACAGGAAUGAGUAAAUUAACAAGAAUUAAUAAUUCAAAGUUUUGCUCACUUGUGUUUAAAAGAAUAGAGUUGCCUACAUGCAACUGAAGGCUGCUUAAUGAAAAUGGGAUUGAUAAAGCAUACAUAUUAAUAUUUCCAUUAUUAUUAUAAAAUAAGCAUCUGGUUGGGAUAGUGAUUAGCUUCAAAUAAGGUAAUUCUCAUUAAAUAUGGGCAGUAAGGAUUUUUAUAGCCUAUUCUUUGUUAGAGACACUAUUUCCCAGUUAUAUAAACUGAGACAGAAACCAUCUAGAAGUCUCUCAUGUGGCAUCUCUGUAGAGAUCCUGCCCCCUUGAAGGGUCAGGAGAAUUCUAUUAGGUCUGUUAGCAUCCAAGUUAGGAAAUUCAAGAAAAAACAAAACUGUUCUCCACCACAGGUAUUAACACAAAAUGUCUAAAAAUUAUGAUACUCAGCACUGAGAUAAAGAGCUUGGUAAAGUUUGUACACUAAAUUAUUUGAAGCAUGAAUUUAUUGUUUCCUGAUAUAAGCAAUGUAAUUAGAAGAGCAUAACCGUGAUUUUGUAAUGGCCAGAGUAUGAACUGGGAUAUGAACACUGAUGAAUUUUAAAUUAUGUCAUUUGAAGCCAGCAAACAGUGGAAUUACUAUAAAUGAUUUCUGAAAUAAAACAUGAUUUAAAUUCUGUC
ensembl:lncRNA